AUUUGCAGACUGGAGAAUUCCUUCAACAUUCAAAAUGCUCCAGCCUCAUCUCCUAUAUAUUAGUAUAUAGGAGAUGAGGCUGGAGCAUUUUGAAUGUUGAAGGAAUAUAUAUAUUGGUAU